rnacentral:pre_miRNA from 14 species
UUCUCUGAAAAUCCCCUCAAAAUGGAGAAGAAGGAAACUAGACAAUCUUACAUAGCUCAAAAUAAUCUGUAAGCUCGUCUUAGUUUUCCUCUCCUCUCUAGGGAAUAUUGAUUGGUAAGAUU